rnacentral:rRNA from 1 species
CAGUUUGGAUUGCAGUCUGCAACUCGAGUGCAUGAAGCUGGAAUCGCUAGUAAUCGCGGAUCAGAAUGCCGCGGUGAAUACGUUCCCGGGUCUUGUACACACCGCCCGUCACACCAUGGGAGUCGGGAAUGCCCGAAGCCGGUGGCCCAAUCGAAAGAAGGGAGCCGUCGAAGGCAGGCCGGAUGACUGGGGUGAAGUCGUAACAAGGUAUC